rnacentral:tRNA from 1 species
GCCGACUUCGCAUAGUGGUCAAUUGCAGUCGCCUUGUAAGCGACCUUAUCGUCGGUUCGACUCCGACAGUCGGCUCCA